rnacentral:rRNA from 1 species
UACGUAGGGGCAAGCGUUGUCCGGAAUCAUUGGGCGUAAAGAGCGUGUAGGCGGUCCGGUAAGUCGGCUGUGAAAGUCCAGGGCUCAACCCUGGGGUGCCGGUCGAUACUGCCGGACUAGAGUUCGGAAGAGGCGAGUGGAAUUCCCGGUGUAGCGGUGAAAUGCGCAGAUAUCGGGAGGAACACCUAUGGCGAAGGCAGCUCGCUGGGACGUUACUGACGCUGAGACGCGAAAGCGUGGGGAGCAAACAGG